rnacentral:rRNA from 1 species
CCUACGGGAGGCAGCAGUGAGGAAUAUUGGUCAAUGGCCGGAAGGCUGAACCAGCCAUGCCGCGUGAAGGUCAGUGCCCUAUGGGCGUUAAACUUCUUUUGUGCGGGAGCAAUAAGGUCCACGUGUGGGCCGACGAGAGUACCGUACGAAUAAGCAUCGGCUAACUCCGUGCCAGCAGCCGCGGUAAUACGGGGGAUGCAAGCGUUAUCCGGAUUUAUUGGGUUUAAAGGGUGCGUAGGCUGUGAGGUAAGUCAGCGGUGAAAUGCCCCCGCUCAACGGGGUGAAGUGCCAUUGAUACUGCCUUGCUGGAAUGCGGAUGCCGUGGGAGGAAUGUGUGGUGUAGCGGUGAAAUGCAUAGAUAUCACACAGAACACCGAUUGCGAAGGCAUCUCACGAAUCCGCGAUUGACGCUGAUGCACGAAAGCGUGGGUAUCAAACA